UUUAGUAAUCCUCCAUGACUCUUCCCUCUGACACGAACUUCCUCCUUCCCUCUCUCCUUGUUGGAUUUUAGUUUCACUUUCUACAUUGAUCCAGAUGGUUUUCUCCUCUGAAGCUCCACUUGCUGAGGACUGGAGGCAGCUGUUCCCGCCUGAAUCAGCCUGUGGAGGAGGCGGAGAUGAGCCGCUGCUCUCCCGCUGUCUGAGCCACUAAAUGCGGCCUGAGCUCUGCCGGACAGCCGCUGGAGAACAGCUGUGACUCUCUUAAUCAACCCUGGAUAUAAGCACCCACCUCUUGACACUCUUUGCCAGAUUGUUCUUCGCGUCAUGCAAGUCUUUCCAGCACUUUUUCCCGGACUGAUCUCCCGUUGCCGACUCUGCCUGUCUCUGACCUGCUCGUCUGUCUCAGCCCCGGUAAUCACCUCUGCCUUUCGUCCCCGACCACGAGUUCUGCCUGAGCGUCUCUUGUGUCUGUUUGCCUGUUUCCCUGUCCCUGCUCACCUGUCCCCCGGAUCUACUCGGUAUUCCUCCACGCUUCCUGCUGGUAUCCGCUCUCCUGCCAUCCUGAGCUUUACCACUGCUGUGAGUACCUGGCGCUCCACUGUGAACAGUGCUGUUCCCUGGUCCCGGUUCUGCCUCUCUGAACCGUGCUCCCCGCCACAGACUCUCCCCCUGAACUCCGGACUCGUUUCCUCCUGCUCGUUUGCUACAGUACUUGCUGUGAAGUUCUCAAUAAAGAUAAUUAC